rnacentral:rRNA from 1 species
AGAGUUUGAUCCUGGCUCAGAUUGAACGCUGGCGGCAUGCCUUACACAUGCAAGUCGAACGGCAGCAUGAUGUGUAGCAAUACACGUUGAUGGCGAGUGGCGAACGGGUGAGUAAUAUAUCGGAACGUGUCCUGUAGCGGGGGAUAACCUAUCGAAAGAUGGACUAAUACCGCAUACGCUCUACGGAGGAAAGCGGGGGUCGCAAGACCUCGCACUAUAGGAGCGGCCGAUAUCGGAUUAGCUAGUUGGCGGGGUAAAAGCCCACCAAGGCGACGAUCCGUAGCUGGUCUGAGAGAACGACCAGCCACACUGGGACUGAGACACGGCCCAGACUCCUACGGGAGGCAGCAGUGGGGAAUUUUGGACAAUGGGCGCAAGCCUGAUCCAGCCAUGCCGCGUGAGUGAAGAAGGCUUCGGGUUGUAAAGCUCUUUCGGCGGGGACGAAAUGGCGCGGGGUAAUAUCCCGUGUCGAUGACGGUACCCGAAGAAGAAGGACCGGCUAACUACGUGCCAGCAGCCGCGGUAAUACGUAGGGUCCAAGCGUUAAUCGGAAUUACUGGGCGUAAAGCGUGCGUAGGCGGUCUCGCAAGUCCGAUGUGAAAUCCCCGGGCUUAACCUGGGACUGCGUUGGAAACUAUGAGACUAGAGUGCGGCAGAGGGGGGUGGAAUUCCAGGUGUAGCAGUGAAAUGCGUAGAUAUCUGGAGGAACACCGAUGGCGAAGGCACCCCCUGGGCCAGCACUGACGCUCAUACACGAAAGCGUGGGGAGCAAACAGGAUUAGAUACCCUAGUAGUCC